AAACUUUUGUCCCUGCUUGAGCUGGCUGGAUUUCACAUUUUUCAAGUUCUACUGAGAUUUUGGCUUGUGAAUAAUGUUUGAAAAUCUUUGGAAGGUCAGGGAAUGGAUAAGAAAUGAAAUUUUUAGUGAAGAAGCGAGGGUAAGUAGAAGGGUCCUGAAUUGGGAAGUAGAUAGGCAUGACCUUUCCCAAAUAUACAUCACCUGGAGUGAAGACGCCUAUAUAUGAAGCCUCUACAAAAUCAGCCACAAAAUUAUCAAAUCCCUUGCCUAAUU
rnacentral:misc_RNA from 1 species